UUCAGCUUUCUGUCGAAUCGUGUUAAUUAGGCCAUAAUUAUCACGAUAAGACCAUUUGUUAGUUGUUACUGCUUUUUUUUAUUAUUAUAAAAAAACAUGCAUUAAAAGAUGUGUAUAUAGAAGUGAAAUGUCCAGAAUUGGAAAUACUAAAACAGGAACUUGCAAAAUCACAGGUUUGUGUAGUUCUGUGUGUACAUAUUAGUCACAUCAGAUCGUCAGAUACUAACCUGUAAAACGACUUCAAGUAGUUGGCGGACAAACCGUCGGACAUGGUAUGGUUGCGGUAUGGUAUCAGUUGCAAUUUAUAACAUACAGACUAAUUUUGUGAAAGCGAAUAAAAGACAAAUUACUUUCAACUUACUGUUUUUCUUCACACUUGAAAACUCAAACCAUUACACAACCAUCAAUCUUCAUUGCUCUUUUUUCUUUGUCACAUUAAUUAACCCAAAUUAAGAUAUUAGCUCAACACAUAACAAUAAUUAUUAAAAUUGUUAGAAUCCAUGAUUUCAUUCUGUACAUCACAAAAAAUUUCAUUUAAUUUACCUAGUCUGUCUCUUUAAUUUCAUUUCAUUUCAUUUAAUUUACCUUGUCUGUCUCUUUAAUUUCUUUUCAUUUAAUUUCAUCACAAAAAUUCUUUCCAUUAGUCUGUCUCUUUAAUCCAAAGAUUUAAAUAUAUAUAAUACAUUGGAUUAAUGUCAAAACGAACCAACUAAGGUGGUCCGGUUGUCAAAACCAACAACCUAUAUUUUGUUGAACGAAAAUUCCAUUGUAAUUAGAGGUAUAAAUGGGCCCGGGUCUGACCUGGACCCGGCCCAAACCCACUUAUCUGGGUCCGGGCCUGGACUACUUUUAGCUUCAUUAAAUGUUUUGGACCCCGAGGUCCGACCAGGUUCAGACCCGACCAGUUAGUAACCCGAGUCCGGGUCCAGAUUAGCCUGACCCGGUCGGACCAGGAACCGGAUAUUAUAAAUGUUAUAAUAUAUAUUUUAUAAUAUAUUAGUAACUUAGGGUUUAAAUAUAAAUAUUUUAAUAUAUAUUUUAUAAUAUAUUAGUAAUAAAUAUAAAUACACCAUUUUUUUUAAAUAACCUUAUUUAAAUUUCAACUAAUUAACUCUUAUUUAAUUAAAUAUUUAACUUUGUUCUUAGUUUUUAGUUGUUACUCUUAUUGACUUAAAUAUUUAGUUGUGUCGUGUUCGUGUCAAAUUUUUUUAACACGAAUCGUGUUUGUGUCAAUGAAAAAAUUAAUCGUGUUCGUGUCGACACGAAUUACUAGAUUUGUAACUCACCCUAGAGGUGACUCUUGUCUACAUGUACUCCUCUUACAUUUCAACUGGUUUGUUUGUUUGCUCACCAGUUCUAUAGAUUCAUAAGGUCCAACAUUCAUGGACUCUUAAACCUCAAUAUAUGAUUUAUCAAACAAAAAGCUUCUAGAAUGCCGCUAAACCCAGCAGGUUUACAAGAAAAUUACCAUGGAUCUAGGCUUAACAUACAAAGAUUGCAAAUUUAAGGCUAACGAUCAGAAUCCUCAUGAUCGACACAUCGAUCAUGAGCAAGGUGUUCGAGUGGUGUUCAUAAGCUUAUGAAAAUCACAUUAAGCUAUACCUUUGUCUGUCUCUAUUGUUUAGAUCUUUUGAUCUAUAUUUGUACUGCUACUGCAGUUUUAUAUCAAUGAUCAAUCCAUUAUAAUCUUAAAAAAAGUUACAAAAUUGGUUCGAUCUCUAGCUUUAUAUUUGGCUCACUUAAAAUCUAUGAGGUCUAUUUUAAAGGAAUUAUCAGAAUCACAUAAUUUGAUUUAUAAUAUACCUUAAUCAUGGUCACAGGACCUAAGAGUAAUUAUCUGUUUAAUAAUACGAGACAGAUAAUAACAAAGAAACUUUGGAUAAAUGUUGCAAAUAUUUAAAUAAAUGAUAUAUUUGUAAUAACAAAGAAACUUUGGGUAAAGAUUGCAAAUAUUUAAGUGAAUGUUAUAUUUGCAAUAACAAAGAAACUCUGGGUAAAGAUUGCAAAUCUCCCAUUAAUGCAGUUGGACUGAAAUCGGAAUGGGCUGUGGAC
rnacentral:lncRNA from 1 species